rnacentral:rRNA from 1 species
AAGGGCACCACAAGAACGCGUGGAGCAUGUGGCUUAAUUUGACUCAACGCGGGAAAUCUUACCGGGUCCGGACAUACUGAGGAUUGACAGGUGUUUGUGUACUAUAGUACUUUUUUUUUUUUAAAAAAAAAGUAUUUUGUAUACUAUAAAUAUGCUAGUCCUUUCAUGAUUGUGUGAUAGGUGGUGCAUGGCCGUUCUUAGUUCGUGAAGUGAUUUGUCUGCUUAAUUGCGUUUCGUAAUAAAAGUGUUCUUCUGACUAUUAAGUCGUUAAUGAUUUUUUUUUUCUAAAAUUAAAAUUUUUUUUUUUUUUUUUAAAAAAAAAUCAUUCGCUUAUUUUGGUAGAAAACAUUUUGAAGGCAACGAACGUGAC